rnacentral:misc_RNA from 1 species
AACGCAAAUUGCACUCUCUAGUAUUCCGGAGAGUAUGCCUGUUUGAGGGUCUUUAAAUAAAAAGGUUCGUUUUUAUCACCUUCGGGUGGUAUUUUCGGAAUUGAGCUUUCUUUUUUUAACCUGUUUUUUGGGAUCUUAAGAGGCUUAAAAUUCAUCGUUAUGAUUAUGACUUAUGUUUAAUACGUUAAGUUAAUGUCAUUUCUUAUUAGGUUGUGGCUAUAUUAAUCAGACAAUAAUUGAUGACAGCUUCAUGACCUAUAAAAUAUUCAUAAAAUGACCUCAAAUCAGGUAGGAAUACCCGCUGAACUUAA